rnacentral:rRNA from 1 species
UUUAAAGAGAGUUUGAUCCUGGCUCAGGACGAACGCUGGCGGCGUGCCUAAUACAUGCAAGUCGAACGAACGGAGGAAGAGCUUGCUCUUCCAAAGUUAGUGGCGGACGGGUGAGUAACACGUGGGCAACCUGCCUGUAAGUUGGGGAUAACUCCGGGAAACCGGGGCUAAUACCGAAUGAUAAGGAGUGACGCAUGUCACUGCUUUGAAAGAUGGUUUCGGCUAUCGCUUACAGAUGGGCCCGCGGUGCAUUAGCUAGUUGG